rnacentral:rRNA from 1 species
UGCCAGCCGCCGCGGUAAUACGGAGGGUGCAAGCGUUGUUCGGAAUUAUUGGGCGUAAAGUGCGUGUAGGCGGUUCGUUAAGUCUGAUGUGAAAGCCCGGGGCUCAACCCCGGAAGUGCAUUGGAAACUGGCGAACUUGAGUACGGGAGAGGAAAGUGGAAUUCCGAGUGUAGGGGUGAAAUCCGUAGAUAUUCGGAGGAACACCAGUGGCGAAGUCAGGCCACUGGGCCUGUCCUGACGCUGAGACACGAAAGCAUGGGUAGCAAACAGGAUUAGAUA